rnacentral:lncRNA from 1 species
GAUAAGUAACACAGUGACAGCAGUCGUGGUGCCUCCGAAUAUAGACAGUACGGAGAUUGUGAAAAGGGCAUGGAAGAGAUACAACCUAAGUCUUGGUCUUGGUCUCAACAAAGUGGCUGGAAAGGUUUUCAGAAUUGGUCACCUUGGAAACCUUAAUGAGGUACGUUUCUGUAUUUGUAAUCCAACUAUUUAAUUAAUUAAAUUUUAAUCAACAUUACAACAUAAAACGCAGUUGCAACUUCUUGGGUGUUUGGCUGGAGUGGAGAUGAUACUAAAGGAUGUUGGGUACCCAGUUGUUUUGGGAAGUGGAGUUGCAGCUGCUUCUACUUAUCUUCAGCACCACAUUCCUCUCAUUCCCUCUAGGAUCUAAAUCACAUCCCCAUUUCUCUGUUCUCUCUCUCUCUCUCUCUUUCUCUCUCAAUGUAAAAUCACUCUACUAUUUUCUCUUUUCUCCAAUUAUAUUUUACUACAUUAUCUAUGUUUUUAUGUGCUAUUCUCAACAAACU